UACGUAGGGUGCGAGCGUUGUCCGGAAUUACUGGGCGUAAAGAGCUCGUAGGUGGUUUGUCGCGUUGUUCGUGAAAACCUGAGGCUUAACCUUGGGCGUGCGGGCGAUACGGGCAGACUGGAGUACUGCAGGGGAGACUGGAAUUCCUGGUGUAGCGGUGGAAUGCGCAGAUAUCAGGAGGAACACCGGUGGCGAAGGCGGGUCUCUGGGCAGUAACUGACGCUGAGGCGCGAAAGCUAGGGGAGCGAACGGG
rnacentral:rRNA from 1 species